rnacentral:tRNA from 1 species
UCCCUGCUGGCUAAGCGGGUAAAGAACUUGCCUGCAAUGCAGGAGACACAGGUUCAAUCCUUGCGUCAGGAA